rnacentral:lncRNA from 1 species
UUUGUUCACGAUAAUUGUUACUUUUAUUCUUGAUAAUUUGUACUUUUAAUUAUUUUAUCAAAUAAUUAUCAUUGUAAGAAAAACUACUUAUAUAACAUAAGUAUAUAUUUUUGCGAACAAAUUAAAAGUAAAUAUUCAUAUUAGGGUUUAGGGUUUAAUUUUCAGGGUUUAGGGUUUAGAAAAUAUAAUACUUUAUAUUGAUCAAAUAAUUAUUAUUGUAAAAAAGCAAAAAAUAUUGUAAAAAAUCAGAAAAACGAAAAGAGACGUAGGUAAGAAGAAGAGGAAAAAAAAGGAUAAAAAUGAGGAAAAAAAUAACAUUAAAACACAACGAAAAAAAAAGAGAAAAAAGGAGAAAGAAAAAAAGGAAAAGCAAAUGCAAGGAAUAUUUCAAAACAAUUACGUUCGUUCAAAAUAAUUGUUACUUUAUUCAUGAGAAUUUAUACUUUUAGUUAUUUGGUCAAAUAACAGUAUUUUAAUUCGCGCGAGCUUGUACUUUUAGCUAUUUC